UGCGUAGGCGGUCUUUUUAAGUUUGGUGUGAAAUCUCCCGGCUCAACCGGGAGGGUGCGCCGAAUACUGAGAGGCUAGAGUGUGGGAGAGGAAAGUGGAAUUCCUGGUGUAGCGGUGAAAUGCGUAGAUAUCAGGAGGAACACCGGUGGUGUAAACGGCUUUCUGGACCAUAACUGACGCUGAAGCACGAAAGCGUGGGUAGCAAACAGGAUUAGAUACCCUGGUAGUCCACGCCCUAAACGAUGCAUAUUUGGUGUGGGCCAUUCAUUUGGUCUGUGCCGGAGCUAACGCGUUAAAUAUGCCGCCUGGGGAGUACAGUCGCAAGGCUGAA
rnacentral:rRNA from 1 species